GAUGAACGCUGGCGGCGUGCUUAACACAUGCAAGUCGAACGAUGAAGCCCAGCUUGCUGGGUGGAUUAGUGGCGAACGGGUGAGUAACACGUGAGUAACCUGCCCUUAACUCUGGGAUAAGCCUGGGAAACUGGGUCUAAUACCGGAUAGGAGCGUCCACCGCAUGGUGGGUGUUGGAAAGAUUUAUCGGUUUUGGAUGGACUCGCGGCCUAUCAGCUUGUUGGUGAGGUAAUGGCUCACCAAGGCGACGACGGGUAGCCGGCCUGAGAGGGUGACCGGCCACACUGGGACUGAGACACGGCCCAGACUCCUACGGGAGGCAGCAGUGGGGAAUAUUGCACAAUGGGCGCAAGCCUGAUGCAGCGACGCCGCGUGAGGGAUGACGGCCUUCGGGUUGUAAACCUCUUUCAGUAGGGAAGAAGCGAAAGUGACGGUACCUGCAGAAGAAGCACCGGCUAACUACGCG
rnacentral:rRNA from 1 species